UUCGAAUCUUAGAAUUAUCUCGCAAUCGUACGGAAUCACGAAUAUCAACGUCGAUUUUGGUCUUCAGCACGUUCUCCACGAGAUAACGCAUCGCCACGUCUGAAACACAGAUACGAAAUUAGGCUAGUAAAAUAUUAGUAUCAUUAUCAAACGAGAAAUUCCUCUUGCUAAAUUUCCUCUACCUAUGCUCUGGCGAUUUAUAUUACGACAAGCAACAUGGCAAUUGUUAAAUAGUAAUUGUUCAGCAGUACGAUUUAUUUUUAGCCUACUUGCCACGACAGGAAUUCCGUUUACAAUUAUUCUCCCUAUCGCCUCGCCACUCUCGCUUAAACAUCCCACGAACACCCACGCGCACCCAUCCACUCGCUCGCAUCGCCUAAUUUUACCAUUAUUUUACUACCACGUAUCUACCGUCUACCAUCCGACUCUCGACUAUUACACGCGUCCAUCGUCUGUUGCAUCUUCACGAUGAUCAAUCUUACGAAUCAUCGAUCUUUAGCUAAAAAGAACUUGGCAAUUUGUUCGCUGGGUACCACCGGGCAAGGAAUAUCACAUUUGUUCGCCAAGAGGACGACCGGUAUCUCCGAACCAUCUGGGAACGUGACUUUUUCCCGUAGGUCGCUCAACCAUUUUUUGAUCGACUGAAACGUGGCUAUCCGCGAAAUAUCGAACACCAAGGCCGCAGCUACUCUGAAAAUUAAACGCAAAAUUAUCGCGAUAUUAUCGUAUGAUUUUAUCGGCCUAAAAAUAGCCCGUAUAGCCUAAUCGGAUUAACGUUUAAAAAUAAAUCUUCAAAUGCUGCGACAACAUUUAAUUAACCCUUGAUUAAGAUAGAGCUAGACGUUGUUGUGGUUUAUAGUCUUUUUUAAGUGAUUUUAUCCGUGUGACUUUAUCGUAUGGAUAUAUAGCUAUAAAGGAAAUAAGAAAAGAAAUUAUUGUUGCACUCGCGAUGAAUAAUUUUCUUAGCGAAUUACACGUAUCUUGUAAUUUCCAAUAAUUACAGUAACUACUUACGCAUAUUUGUAAUAAACUCUGGUCAUGUAUCCGAACCUUUCGUGGCCAGCGACAUCCCUAAAAAUAGAAAUCAACGGUGAUAACAAUGUGUUUUCUGUAUCGAGAUAGUAAUUAUAUCUAUCUGUAGAAUUUGUAGAAUAGAUCUCUCUCGAUUACUCGGUCAGAAACUUCGUUUUAAAAUACCGAUCUUUCGAAAUUCGUCGUAUUUCUUUCUCUCGAUUUUCUUCUCGAUUAAUAAACAAUCACAAAACUAUCGUAAAAGUAUUAUAUCACGUCGUUGUAUUUUUACAAGUUACUAAUUAACGAUAGAUAUACGUAAAAUUGGUCUCGACUUGUAAUAUUAUACAACGUAUCUUCUUUACAAAAUUAUUAAAAGAUAUAUAGCAAUACAUGUUAAUAAUAAUUAACAGAAAAUUAAUUUUCUUUCUCGGACGAGGAAGAAAUUGAAUCGUAAAAGGACUAAUUCUGGUACACGACGAUUUAACUUCGAUCAACGAAACGUCCAAUAUAUGUUUCUCGUGUGUUUUAUUCUAUACGAUUUCGGUGAUUCUACCAAAUUAACAUCUUUACAAAAUUAUUGAAAAAUAUAUAGCAAUUUAUGUUAGUGGUAAUUAACAAAAAACGAACGAGGAAGAAAUUGAAUCGUAAAAGGAAUAAUUCUGGUACACGAUGAUUUAACUUCGAUCAACGAAUAUAUGUUUCUCGUGUGUUUCAUGCUAUACGAUUUCGAUGAUUCUACCGAAUUAACAUCUUUACAAAAUUAUUGAAAAAUAUAUAGCAAAUUAUGUUAAUAAUAAUUAACAGAAAACUAAUUUUCUUUCUCGGACGAGGAAGAAAUUGAAUCGUGAAAGGACUAAUUCUGAUACACGAUGAUUUAACUUCGAUCAACGAAAUCCAAUAUAUGUUUCUCGUGUGUUUUAUACUACACGAUUUCGAUGAUUCUACCGAAUUAACAUUUUUACAAAAUUAUUAAAAAAUAUAUAGCAAUUUAUGUUAGUAAUAAUUAACAGAAAACGGACGAGGAAGAAAUUGAAUCGUAAAAGGACUAAUUCUGGUACACGAUGAUUUAACUUCGAUCAACGAAUAUAUGUUUCUCGCGUGUUUCAUGCUAUACGAAUUCGAUGAUUCUACCGAAUUAACAUCUUUAUAAAAUUAUUGAAAAAUGUAUAGCAAAUUAUGUUAAUAAUAAUUAACAGAAAACUAAUUUUCUUUCUCGGACGAGGAAGAAAUUGAAUCGUAAAAGGACUAAUUCUGAUACACAAUGAUUUAACUUCGAUAAACGAAACGUCCAAUAUAUGUUUCUCGUGUAUCUUCAUGCUACACGGUGUCGAUGAUUCUACCGAAUUAACACGCGAAAUAACCAGCAGGAAAACAAACUGAUAAAGCAAUACCAUAAUUGUAAGUUAAUUUUAGUAAACCGGUCCCAGUCGACUGCCUUUAUUGCGAAAUCGGCGCCUAUGGUAAUCUUAUAAUUGGACGUAAACCUUCCUGAAAAAAGAGAAACAUCGAUCAAUCAUUGAAGAAUACUGACGUACAAAUCUACGUAUUAAGGCAAAGCAGAAGAAAUCGAAGAUAUUUCAUAAUAACGAGCAACGUUAUUCUCGAUCGUUAAUAACCAACUAAUUACUUAUAACGAAGCUUAUACACAAUUCACAAUAUUAUCGGUUAAGGAGGAACACGUUUCUUUCUUGUUAAAAAUAACGAAUACUUCAAUGAGAACGUUAUUUACGCUUAUUUACAGAGAUACGAAAGAAUAAUGAGAAGAUAACUAACAUCAUCGUUAACCUUCACACGUUACGAAGCAUAUCCCAUUGUUCUUUCAUAUUUCUCUUGCAAUUAAUUCGAUGAAAAAUCAAAGAAGCAUGAGAAGAAGAGCCGCAGAAUGUCGAAGCUUAACUAGCGCGGAUUAAGAGCACGGAAAAUGACUUCAAUAUUCAUAGACUUUGAUAAUUAGAUUUUGACUUGUAUAAUUCUACAAUAAAUGUAUACAACAUCCGAA